rnacentral:pre_miRNA from 1 species
UCUUAGGGAUAAGCGAAGAAAGUGGUUUCUUGAGAUGGAAUCUGUUCCCAGUGAAGACGCUGUGAA